rnacentral:lncRNA from 1 species
UCUGUGUAAAUUAUAUUAUGAGGUAACUUCCAUUGAAGUCACUUAGUUUUCCUGUUAGCUAUAUUCUUGUUUAAAAUUUUCAAAAAUCUCCCCAUGGAAGUUCCUUAAACAAUAAUGCAAAAUCCACUUAAAUUCACUAUUUGGAGUUGUAUUAUUCUUAUAACAAAUCAAAUAUUUUUGAGGCACAAUAUUUAAUUCAAAAGAUAU